rnacentral:rRNA from 1 species
AGAGUUGAUCAUGGCUCAGAGUGAACGCUGGCGGCAGGCCUAAUACAUGCAAGUCGAACGGCAGCACAGCAGAGCUUGCUCUGUGGGUGGCGAGUGGCGGACGGGUGAGGAAUACGUGGGAAUCUGCCCAGUCGUGGGGAUAACGUAGGGAAACUUACGCUAAUACCGCAUGCGCCCUUCGGGGGAAAGCCGGGGACCUUCGGGCCUGGCGCGAUUGGAUGAGCCCACGUCGGAUUAGCUAGUUGGCGGGGUAAAGGCCCACCAAGGCGACGAUCCGUAGCUGGUCUGAGAGGAUGAUCAGCCACACUGGAACUGAGACACGGUCCAGACUCCUACGGGAGGCAGCAGUAGGGAAUAUUGGACAAUGGGCGCAAGCCUGAUCCAGCCAUGCCGCGUGAGUGAAGAAGGCCCUCGGGUUGUAAAGCUCUUUUGUCCGGAAAGAAAAGCGCCGGGUUAAUACCCUGGUGUCCUGACGGUACCGGAAGAAUAAGCACCGGCUAACUUCGUG